CGCAAGAAGUGGGAACUGCUUCCCGAGACCGUUGUGAGGCGUAAGAAAAUUUCCGUUAGGUGAAGUGCUCGCUGAAGUACCGCACCCGGCGUGGGAAGAGGAUCCCUGGCAAAGGACCUUGGAACCUCAAGCCAGAUACUGUUGCCCACCUAGAAUUUGGCGUAGAGCAAUGCAUGAUGGACAGAGGGCUCUCCCAGGAUUCCCGCCUAGGACUCCCCCAGUGUGGCAACCAUUCUUCUGAUACCUGUCACCAUAGAUAUCAAGUACAAUGUUAAAUAAAAGUGGUAAGAAUGAACAUCC